rnacentral:lncRNA from 1 species
UAUGGAAGGAGACCCAUCAUUUUGCAAUGAAAACAACAUAUAAAACUCUGGACAAUUUCGAAAUCAGGCCAAGCGUCUUAAUACAUAUGCAAAAAAAUUCAUUAUUGGCCCACCAUUGAUUAGAAGAUUUAGCUUGUAUGAAUCGCUAUUGGUUUGAUACGAAUAAUGGCAAUCGUUUCAGUAUGUUAAGGAUACAGAUGUAUCCACAAUUCAUUUAGAGUUACUUAAUAGUCUAUUUCUUAUACCAUAUCUCUAUCCCGUGAAAUUCUCGAGCCAAAAGAUGGAUGCCUAUGCUGUGUUUCAUUUUGCUAAAUGAUAUCAAUUAAAUGGUGUAUCAAUUCCAUAAAUUGCAUAUAGCAAUAAAUAAAUCAGCAAAAUUCUUUCUACUAUAUUUAGAUAGAAGAAACAUUUCUUCUAUCUAAAAUAGUAGAAAGAAUGUACCCUUCUAUCCAAAUCCAAUUUGCAUCGAUAAAAAAAAUCCAAAUUCCAGUAGUAGAUGAAUAAUUGCAAAUUUGUGUGUGUACGAGAUUAGAAUAACUUCAAAAUAACUGACAUAAUUUUUUAUUUUUCCUGAUCAGAAAAAUACAUGAAAAAGAAAGGAGGUAGAAAAAUUUUAGGAUUUAUGGUUAAAGAAGAAAAAGAAGAAAACAGGGGUUCUGUUGAAUUUCAAGUAUUCAGUUUCACCAAUAAGAUACGGAGACUUGCUUCACAUUUGGAAUUACACAAAAAAGAUUUUUCAUCGGAAAGAGGUCUACGAAGACUUUUGGGAAAACGUCGACGUUUGCUGGCUUAUUUGGCAAAGAAAAAUAGAGUACGUUAUAAGAAAUUAAUCGGUCAGUUGAAUAUUCGGGAGCAGUAAUUUAAUCCUUCAAAUUUUUUUCUUGUUUUAUUAUUUUUUUAGUAGUCUUUAUAGUAGUCUUAGAUUUUUCAUUUUGAUGAGCCUCACUUUGAGGAAUUCAUGGAAUAAUCCAUUUUCAUGGAAUAAUGAAUUAAGGAAGAAAGGAUAUGAGUCUACCGCUUACAAAAAAAGAUCUCAUGAUAGUCAAUAUGGGCCCUCAACACCCAUCAAUGCAUGGUGUUCUUCGACUGAUCGUUACUCUUGAUGGUGAGGAUGUUAUUGAUUGUGAACCCAUAUUAGGGUAUUUACACAGAGGAAUGGAAAAAAUCGCGGAAAACCGAACGAUUAUACAAUACUUACCUUAUGUAACAAGGUGGGAUUAUNNNNNNNNNNNNNNNNNNNNNNNNNNNNNNNNNNNNNNNNNNNNNNNNNNNNNNNNNNNNNNNNNNNNNNNNNNNNNNNNNNNNNNNNNNNNNNNNNNNNAACAAGGUGGGAUUAUUUAGCUACUAUGUUUACAGAAGCAAUAACAGUAAAUGCACCAGAAUUCUUGGAGAAUAUUCAAAUACCACAAAGAGCCAGCUAUAUUAGGGUAAUUAUGUUAGAGUUAAGCCGUAUAGCUUCUCACUUGCUAUGGCUUGGACCUUUUAUGGCGGAUCUCGGCGCACAGACUCCUUUUUUCUACAUUUUUAGAGAGAGAGAAUUAAUAUAUGAUCUAUUUGAAGCUGCUACAGGUAUGCGAAUGAUGCACAAUUACUUCCGCAUCGGAGGAGUAGCCGCCGAUCUACCUUAUGGAUGGAUCGAUAAAUGUUUAGAUUUCUGUGAUUAUUUUUUACGCGGAGUUGUUGAAUAUCAACAACUUAUUACACAGAAUCCCAUUUUUUUAGAGCGAGUUGAAGGAGUAGGUUUUAUUAGCGGAGAAGAAGCAGUAAAUUGGGGCUUAUCGGGACCUAUGUUACGAGCUUCUGGAAUACAAUGGGAUCUUCGUAAAGUGGAUCCUUAUGAGUCUUACAACCAAUUUGAUUGGAAAGUCCAAUGGCAAAAAGAAGGCGAUUCAUUAGCUCGCUAUUUAGUACGAGUUGGUGAAAUGAGCGAAUCCAUCAAAAUAAUUCAACAAGCUAUAGAAAAAAUUCCUGGAGGACCUUAUGAGAAUUUAGAAGUCCGACGCUUUAAGAAAGAAAAGAAUUCUGAAUGGAAUGAUUUUGAGUAUAAAUUUCUUGGUAAAAAACCUUCCCCCAAUUUUGAAUUGUCAAGGCAAGAGCUUUAUGUAAGAGUGGAAGCCCCAAAAGGUGAAUUAGGGAUUUAUCUAGUAGGAGAUGAUAGCCUUUUUCCCUGGAGAUGGAAAAUCCGUCCACCCGGUUUUAUUAAUUUGCAAAUUCUUCCUCAACUAGUUAAAAAAAUGAAAUUGGCUGAUAUCAUGACGAUAUUAGGUAGUAUAGAUAUCAUUAUGGGGGAAGUUGAUCGUUGAAAUGAUAAUAGAUAGGGUAGAGGUAGAAACUAUCAAUUCUUUUUCGAAAUCGGAAUUAUUAAAAGAAGUCUAUGGACUGAUAUCGAUUCUACCCAUUUUGACCCUCCUUUUAGGAAUUACAAUAGAGGUACUCGUAAUUGUGUGGUUAGAAAGAGAAAUAUCUGCGUCGAUACAACAACGUAUUGGUCCUGAAUAUGCUGGCCCCCUGGGCCUGCUUCAAGCUAUAGCAGAUGGGACUAAACUACUUUUUAAAGAAGAUAUUCUGCCAUCGCGAGGAGAUAUUUCUUUAUUUAGCAUUGGACCUUCUAUAGCAGUCAUAUCAGUUUUAUUAAGUUUUUUAGUUAUCCCUUUGGGAUAUCAUUUUGUUUUAGCCGAUCUUAGUAUUGGUGUUUUUUUAUGGAUUGCCAUUUCAAGUAUAGCUCCUAUUGGUCUUCUUAUGGCAGGAUAUAGCUCAAAUAAUAAAUAUUCUUUUUCAGGCGGUCUACGAGCUGCUGCUCAAUCCAUUAGUUAUGAAAUACCAUUAACUUUUUGUGUGCUAGCAAUAUCUCUACGUGUGAUUCGUUAAAAUAGGAUCUUUUUCCUAUAAAAUCCAUUAACUAUUUAUAUUCCUUUUCUUAUUUAGUAUUUGGGUUGGUAAGUUAAACUAGAUAGCUAUAUGAGUGAAAUAAAACAGCUUCUAAAUUUGUAGUAAAAAGAAAAAAAUCUCAUUUUCUACGUACAAGAAAAAAGUGGAAGUAAACAUAAAGAGUGUAAACUCUUUAUCCCAAGGUUGAUAUUUUUUAAUUACUCAUCAUAUCUUGAAGCGGGCAAGAAUAAAGGAUUCACAAUAUGGAAUUCCAUUAUUAGAAUACUCCUAGUUAUUACUAUAACUUAAAAAUUCAUAAGAAGAAUCCACCAAAAGUUAGUGAAGGGUUAGGAACACUAAAGUACAUAAAGGAUUAGUAAUGGAAAAUCUAAAACAUUAGAGAUUUUUUCCCGUAAAAGGAAUCAUAAUAAGGACUUGCAAUUUGUAGAAAUUAUCAAGUAGUACUUUCUUCGGAUUCCGAUCCAGAGUAUGUUCCCAUUCACUUGUUAAGGAAAUGGCUAUCAAGAACGAAUUAACCCUUUAUCCAUUUUUUCUUUUUAAAUACCCCCUUCCCGGGGGAAAGAAGAAUAGUAAAAAAGAUAUGGAGUGCACUAGAAAAAAUUUGCAUUAUUUCCUUCCUCUAUUCAUGCAGAAUUGCUCAUGNNNNNNNNNNNNNNNNNNNNNNNNNNNNNNNNNNNNNNNNNNNNNNNNNNNNNNNNNNNNNNNNNNNNNNNNNNNNNNNNNNNNNNNNNNNNNNNNNNNNNNNNNNNNNNNNNNNNNNNNNNNNNNNNNNNNNNNNNNNNNNNNNNNNNNNNNNNNNNNNNNNNNNNNNNNNNNNNNNNNNNNNNNNNNNNNNNNNNNUUAUUAAUUGAAUUCCUAUAACAAAACAAGUACCAAGUGUUUUAUUCCAAGAUUAAGUUAUUACUGAACAAAGAAAAAUUUGGAAUAUAUUAUAAAGGAUGAGAUCAAUUCAGAAGCGCUUUUUCUUAUUCUAGCAGACGGAAUUCCUUUGGUCUAAUUUAGGACUUUCAAAUCUAUUUUAUUUUACCUAAUUCUAUCUAUGCCCCAGGGGCUAGGAACAGAACAAAACAGUCCUUUCCUUUUUCUGAUCAUAGAGAAGCCGUAUGAAGCUAAGGUUUCAUGUACGGUUUUGAAAUAGCGGUGGGAACUGUGAUGUUAUCAUCGACUAUGAUUAUCUAACAGUUCAAGUACAGUUGAUAUAGUUGAAGCACAGUCAAAAUAUGGUUUUUUUGGAUGGAAUAUUUGGCGUCAGCCUAUAGGCUUUCUGGUUUUUUUAAUUUCUUCUUUGGCAGAAUGUGAAAGAUUACCCUUUGAUUUACCAGAAGCAGAGGAAGAAUUAGUAGCAGGUUACCAAACUGAAUAUUCCGGUAUCAAAUAUGGUUUAUUUUAUCUUGUUUCUUACCUAAAUUUAUUAGUUUCUUCUUUAUUUGUAACAGUUCUCUACUUGGGCGGGUGGAAUUUCUCUAUUCCCUAUAUAUCCUUUUUUGAUUUUUUCCAAAUGAAUAAAGCAGUUGGAAUUUUGGAAAUGACAAUGGGUAUAUUUAUUACAUUAACUAAAGCUUAUUUAUUUCUCUUCAUUUCUAUCACAAUAAGAUGGACUUUACCAAGGAUGAGAAUGGAUCAGUUAUUAAAUCUUGGAUGGAAAUUUCUUUUACCUAUUUCCCUGGGCAAUCUAUUAUUAACAACCUCUUCUCAACUUGUUUCACUAUAAAUAAGAUAAUACAAUAAUAGAUAGUAAGAAUAUUUUCAACACAAAAGCUCUCCCAAACAAGAGAAAGAAACAUAUCUUUUUCAUAGAUAUUUAGAAUGAAUAUGUUCCCUAUGGUAACUGGGUUCAUGAGUUAUGGUCAACAAACAAUACGUGCUACAAGGUACAUAGGUCAAAGUUUCAUAACUACCUUAUCCCACACAAAUCGUUUACCUAUAACGAUUCACUACCCUUAUGAAAAAUCAAUUACACCAGAGCGUUUCCGAGGGCGAAUCCACUUUGAAUUUGAUAAAUGUAUUGCUUGUGAAGUAUGUGUUCGCGUAUGUCCGAUAGAUCUACCCGUUGUGGAUUGGAGAUUUGAAAAGGAUAUAAAAAGAAAACAAUUGCUUAAUUAUAGUAUUGAUUUCGGAGUUUGUAUAUUUUGUGGCAAUUGUGUUGAGUACUGUCCAACAAGCUGUUUAUCAAUGACUGAAGAAUAUGAACUUUCUACCUAUGAUCGUCAUGAAUUGAAUUACAAUCAAAUUGCUUUAAGUCGGUUACCAAUCUCCAUAAUGGGAGAUUACACAAUUCAAACAAUUAGGAAUUCGUCUGAAAGUAAAAUAAACGAAGAAAAAUCUUCGAAUUCAAGAACGAUUACUGAUUACUAAACUUUGAUUUUGUCUUUUUGUUAUAAAAAUCUACUAAUUCUUUAUUAAACUAUAAAGAAAAACGAAUAACUACUGCUUAUUGGAAAUUUUUUCUUAUUUUAAAUCAGACUAGAUUUUGAUGAUAUAAUAUAGUUUAUAACUAUACAGUUUAUACACAAAAAAUACCCUAAUCCCUUUUUCCUUCCUCGAAUCCUUUAGUUUUAGUCAGUUCAUGAAAAAUUUUAUACUAUUAAUUUCUUUUUAUCCAUAAUGGAUUUACCUGGACCAAUACAUGAGAUUCUUAUGCUAUUUGGGGGAUUUAUUCUUCUACUAGGGGGUCUAGGAGUAGUAUUACUUACCAACCCCAUUUAUUCUGCCUUUUCGCUGGGAUUAGUUCUUGUUUGUAUAUCCUUAUUCUAUUUUUUAUUAAAUUCCUACUUUGUAGCUGUCGCACAACUUCUUAUUUAUGUGGGAGCCAUAAAUGUCUUGAUCAUAUUCGCUGUAAUGUUCGUAAAUGGCUCAGAAUGGUCUAAAGAUAAGAAUUAUUGGACUAUUGGAGAUGGGUUCACUUCACUCGUUUGUAUAACUUUUGUUUUUUCACUAAUGACUACUAUCCCAGAUACGUCAUGGUAUGGAAUUCUUUGGACUACAAGAUCAAACCAAAUAGUAGAACAGGGUCUCAUAAAUAAUGUUCAACAAAUUGGAAUUCAUUUAGCAACCGAUUUUUAUCUUCCGUUUGAACUCAUUUCCAUAAUUCUUCUAGUUUCUUUAAUAGGUGCAAUUACUAUGGCUCGGCAAUAAGAAAACUUAGAAAAAGUAAAAAUUAUAAGAAUUGCAAAUCUAAAAUAAAUAACUAAAGAAUCACAAUUUUGAUUUAGUAAAACCCAUCUACUGCCAACAAAUACCUCCUUUCUUUUCUCUUUUGUUGUGUAAUUGUUCUAUUGUAAUUAAUUGAAUCGGUUCAAUUCUUUGCCCUCAUAUUGAAAUGAAUCGAGAUUGAUAAGGAGUUAGUUAAUGAUGUUUGAGCAUGUACUUUUUUUGAGUGUCUAUUUAUUUUCGAUUGGUAUCUAUGGAUUGAUCACAAGCCGAAACAUGGUUAGAGCUCUAAUAUGUCUUGAACUUAUACUGAAUUCAAUUAAUCUAAAUCUCGUAACAUUUUCUGAUCUAUUUGAUAGUCGCCAAUUAAAAGGAGAUAUUUUCGCCAUUUUUGUUAUAGCCCUUGCCGCUGCUGAAGCCGCUAUUGGACUAUCCAUUCUUUCUUCCAUCCAUCGUAAUAGGAAAUCCACUCGUAUCAAUCAAUCUAAUUUAUUGAAUAAUUAGACUUUUUAAUAAUUAGACAUAAAAUCCUCUAAACAAAGGCGCACAUAUUAAAAUAAUAUAGAAAUCCAUACUAUUUUCUUAGUAUUAUUUGAGAAUAUCCUUUUUUUUUUAGUAAGUAGGUUAUUGCAUAGUAUUCUUUUUCACUUAAAUGAAUUUUUGUAUUUGUAAUUCAUUGAUAUUGCAAUAUUCAAAUUGCAAUAAUUUAUAUUGAAAAGACGAUAGCCAAUAAAAUAAAUUGGCUAAUUCGAAAUCGUCUGUACAAUUUGUAAAAUUCUUUCUUAUUGUUGAAGUCCAAAAUUCAAGUCUCUUGGCUCUUUUCACGCUUUCUCACAAACGGAUUAAAAAAUAGAUUUUUAAUUUUGAAGUUUGGAUAAACCAUUGCUUCGUCUGGUGUCUACAAUACAUAUGACUCAUAUAGUACUAAUUUUCUUUUUACCAGAUCGAAAAAUUUUAUGUUGAAAAGAAAAAUUUAUAGAUCCAAUGUCACAUUCCGUAAAAAUUUAUGAUACAUGUAUAGGAUGCACUCAAUGUGUACGAGCUUGUCCAACAGAUGUAUUAGAAAUGAUACCCUGGGAUGGAUGUAAAGCCAAGCAAAUUGCUUCCGCGCCGAGAACCGAAGAUUGUGUGGGUUGUAAGAGAUGUGAAUCUGCCUGCCCGACAGAUUUUUUAAGUGUCCGCGUUUAUUUAGGGCCUGAAACAACCCGUAGCAUGGCUCUAUCUUAUUGAUACGUUACAAAAACAAAAAACUUCAUUUGAAUCGUCUGAUUCCUCUUUACCGAAGAAGCCUGUGCUCGAAAUAAUCGAGCACGGGCUUUUCUGGUCAAAACGUAUCUUGUCUUUAUCACUUUAUCAUGAGUUAUUUUCCUUGGUUAACAAUACUUGUUGUUUUGCCGAUAUUUGCCGGUUCAUUAAUUUUCUUUUUACCUCAUAAGGGAAACAAAAUCGUUAGGUGGUAUACUAUAUCUAUUUGUUUAUUAGAAUUCCUUCUAAUGACUUAUGCGUUCUGUUAUCAUUUCCAACUGGAGGAUCCCUUAAUUCAAUUAAAGGAGGAUUAUAAAUGGAUAGAUGUCUUCGAUUUCCAUUGGAGAUUGGGAAUCGAUGGACUUUCAUUAGGAUCCAUUUUAUUGACAGGAUUUAUCACUACUUUAGCUACUUUAGCAGCUUGGCCAAUUACACGGAAUUCGCGAUUAUUCUAUUUCCUGAUGCUCGCAAUGUAUAGUGGUCAAAUAGGAUUAUUUUCUUCGCGAGACCUUUUACUUUUUUUUAUCAUGUGGGAGUUAGAAUUAAUUCCUGUUUACUUACUUUUAUCCAUGUGGGGGGGAAAGAGGCGUCUAUAUUCAGCUACAAAGUUUAUUUUGUAUACUGCAGGCGGUUCUAUUUUUUUCUUAAUCGGAGUUCUGGGUAUGGGCUUAUACGGUUCCAACGAACCAGGAUUAGAUUUGGAAAGAUUAAUUAAUCAAUCAUACCCCGCAACCUUGGAAAUACUUUUAUAUUUUGGCUUCCUUAUUGCUUAUGCUGUCAAAUUGCCGAUUAUACCCCUACAUACGUGGUUACCAGAUACCCAUGGGGAAGCACAUUAUAGUACAUGUAUGCUUUUAGCGGGAAUAUUAUUAAAGAUGGGAGCAUAUGGAUUGAUUCGGAUCAACAUGGAAUUGUUACCUCAUGCUCAUUAUCUAUUUUCGCCCUGGUUAGUAAUAAUAGGAGCUAUCCAAAUAAUCUAUGCAGCUUCAACUUCUCUUGGUCAACGAAAUUUCAAAAAAAGAAUAGCUUAUUCCUCUGUAUCUCACAUGGGUUUCAUAAUUAUAGGAAUUGGUUCCAUAACCAACAUUGGACUCAAUGGAGCUAUUUUACAAAUAUUAUCCCAUGGAUUUAUUGGUGCUACACUUUUUUUCUUGGCAGGAACCGCUUCUGAUAGAAUGCGUCUUGUUUAUCUCGAAGAACUGGGAGGAAUAUCUAUCCCAAUGCCUAAAAUUUUUACCAUGUUUAGUAGCUUUUCAAUGGCUUCUCUUGCCUUACCAGGAAUGAGUGGUUUUGUCGCAGAAUUAGUAGUAUUUUUUGGACUAAUUACUAGUCCAAAAUUUUUGUUAAUGCCAAAAGCACUAAUUACUUUUGUAAUGGCAAUUGGAAUGAUAUUAACUCCUAUUUAUUUAUUAUCUAUGUUACGCCAGAUGUUCUAUGGAUACAAGCUAUUUAAUGUUCCAAACGCAAAUUUUGUGGAUUCUGGACCACGAGAACUCUUUAUUUUAAUCUGUAUCUUUUUACCAGUAAUAGGAAUUGGUAUUUAUCCAGAUUUUGUUCUCUCCCUAUCCGUUGACAGGGUAGAGGCUCUCUUAUCCAAUUAUUAUCCUAAAUAGGUUUGGUUUUUUUUACUAGUCUGCUCUAUUAAUGCAGAAAUAAGUAAAAAAGUAUAAUUAGAUCUAUCUCGAAUUUUUGAGAACCCUUUGAGAAGGCGCUCAAGGGGUUCUCAAAUAAAAUAUAAAAGUAAAAACGUUCAUUUCAUGAACGUUUUUUUUUAUGUAAUCAUUUAGGUGUUAAUGUAAACGAACCAUAACUAUGUAAACCUAUUCCUAAUAGAUUGAUACCAAAAUAACAAAUCCAAAUUAUAAGAAAUCCUAUCGAAGCUAUAAGUGCAGAAUUCGUACCCUUCCAAUUUGGAUUUGUUCUACUAUGUAAAUAAAUUGCGAAUAUGGUCCAAGUAAUAAAUGCCCAAGUUUCCUUAGGAUCCCAAUUCCAAUAGGAUCCCCAGGCCUCAUUAGCCCAUACUGCUCCACAAAGAAUACCUAUGGUUAAAAGGGUAAAUCCUAGGCUAAUGAUACGAUAACUCCAAGAAUCCAAACGCUCCGUUAAUUGAUAUUUGUAAUAAUUUGGAAAUGAAGGGACAGGGGCGCUUUUUAAAGCACUUCUUUUUGCAUAAAAAAAUGCAAUCUCACUAAAGAAAAAUGUUUUAUUUAAAACAUUUUUUUUCUU